AAGGAUCAUUAUCGUACACUGAGGGCAAAGGCUGUCGCUGACCCUCAAGGGUUGUGCACGCCCGAGUGCUCUCACACAAUCCAUCUCACCUUUGUGCAUCACCGCGUGGGUCCCCUUUGCAGGAGGGCUCACGUUUUCACAUAAAACUCGAUACAGUGUAGAAUGUUUCUUUUGCGGUCACACGCAAUCAAUACAACUUUCAACAACGGAUCUCUUGGCUCUCGCAUCGAUGAAGAACGCAGCGAAAUGCGAUACGUAAUGUGAAUUGCAGAAUUCAGUGAAUCAUCGAAUCUUUGAACGCACCUUGCGCCCCUUGGCAUUCCGAGGGGCACACCCGUUUGAGUGUCGUGAAAUCUUCAAAACCCUUUUUUCUUUGAACCAUUGCGGUCGGGAAAAGGAUUUUUGGACUUGGAGGCUUAAUGCUUGCCCUUUCUUUUUGAAAGCGAGCUCCUCUCAAAUGAAUUAGUGGGGUCCGCUUUGCUGAUCCUUGACGUGAUAAAAUGUUUCUACGUUUUGGGUUUAGCACUGUCCCUUGGAUGCCUGCUGCUAACCGUCUCAUNGACAAUGAUGGUGCUCCGGUCACUGCCGUCUACGUCGGCGGGAGGCUGGACCCACAAAAAGAAAACCUGACCUCAAACCCCCCC
rnacentral:rRNA from 1 species